CCUACGGGGGGCAGCAGUGAGGAAUAUUGGUCAAUGGACGAGAGUCUGAACCAGCCAAGUAGCGUGAAGGAUGACUGCCCUAUGGGUUGUAAACUUCUUUUAUAUGGGAAUAAAAUGUUCCACGUGUGGGAUUUUGUAUGUACCAUAUGAAUAAGGAUCGGCUAACUCCGUGCCAGCAGCCGCGGUAAUACGGAGGAUCCGAGCGUUAUCCGGAUUUAUUGGGUUUAAAGGGAGCGUAGGUGGAUUGUUAAGUCAGUUGUGAAAGUUUGCGGCUAAACCGUAAAAUUGCAGUUGAAACUGGCAGUCUUGAGUACAGUAGAGGUGGGCGGAAUUCGUGGUGUAGCGGUGAAAUGCUUAGAUAGCACGAAGAACUCCGAUUGCGAAGGCAGUUCACUGGACUGCAACUGACACUGAGGCUCGAAAGUGUGGGUAUCAAACAGGAUUAGAUACCCCUGUAGUC
rnacentral:rRNA from 1 species